GACGAACGCUGGCGGCGUGCUUAACACAUGCAAGUUGAGCGGUGAAGGCUGGUAUUUGUGCCAUGCGCAUGUGGCGAAAAGGGGUGUGUAACGCGUGGAAACUGCCCUUUAGUGCGGGGGAAAUUCAGUAGAAACGAGUGCUAAUCCCGCAUAAAAUCCUUAAACACAGGUGUGAAGGUAGAAAUUUGCCGUUGCGUCACUGACAGAUGACCCCGCGUUGUAUUAGGUAGGUGGUGAGGUACAGGCUCACUAAGGCGAGGAUACAGAGCCCACCUGAGUGGAUGGGCAGCCGCAUUGGGACGGAGACACGGCCCAAACGCCUACGGGAGGCAGCAGUAGGGAAACGUCGGCAAUGGGCGGAAGUCUGACCGAGCAACGCCGCGGGAGUGAAGAGGGUUUUCGGGUCGGAAAUCUCUGUUUGUGGAGAAGAACGUGGGUGAGAGUGGAAAGCACAGCAAGUGACGGUAACUACUCAGAAAGGGACGGCUAACUACGUG
rnacentral:rRNA from 1 species